CUAGGUAUUCUCUACCUAACACUACCUACACAUGCAGGAUAGUAAUUGAAUGUGUGAAGCUGUAGGAACAAUGUAGCCUGUCUUAGAUGACAUUGUAGAUAUAUUAUAAAAAGUAUAAUUAUAUCUCCAGG
rfam:Neofusicoccum parvum TCRNP2 chromosome Tnknown NP2_03_scaffold_387, whole genome shotgun sequence.